GACGAACGCUGGCGGCGUGCUUAACACAUGCAAGUCGAACGGAAAGGCCCUGCUUUUGUGGGGUGCUCGAGUGGCGAACGGGUGAGUAACACGUGAGUAACCUGCCCUUGACUUUGGGAUAACUUCAGGAAACUGGGGCUAAUACCGGAUAGGAGCUCCUGCUGCAUGGUGGGGGUUGGAAAGUUUCGGCGGUUGGGGAUGGACUCGCGGCUUAUCAGCUUGUUGGUGGGGUAGUGGCUUACCAAGGCUUUGACGGGUAGCCGGCCUGAGAGGGUGACCGGACACAUUGGGACUGAGAUACGGCCCAGACUCCUACGGGAGGCAGCAGUGGGGAAUAUUGCACCAUGGGCGGAAGCCUGAUGCAGCAACGCCGCGUGCGGGAUGACGGCCUUCGGGUUGUAAACCGCUUUCGCCUGUGACGAAGCGUGAGUGGCGGUAAUGGGUAAAGAAGCACCGGCUAACUACGUG
rnacentral:rRNA from 1 species